AAAGAUAAGUCAAGAGCAUUUAGUGGAUGCCUAGACAGAAGAAGUAAAAGGACGUUAAACGCAACGAAACGCCAUAGAAAGGUGCGUAAAUCCUGAGAUCUAUGGAUUUCCUAAAAGGAAACUUUAAAAUUUUCAUUACCUAGUGAACUGAAACAUCUCAUUAACUAGAGGAAAAAAAAUCAACCGAGACUCCGUAAGUAGUGGUGAGCGAAAACGGAUUAGGCCUUCAUUCUUCUCAAAAAAAAAACAUCUAAGCUGUUUGGAAAAAUGCGCCAAAGAAGGUGAAAGCCCUGUAGAUGUGUGAAUUUGAAAAUUAAAGAAUGAAAUAAAUGAGUAAAACGAACACCUUGUUUGUUUGAAUUGGAAAUUUCUUGUUUAAAAUGGAAACAUUAUUAGAUAAGAAACUUCUUAAAGGGGGACCACCCUCUAAGCCUAAGUAUAUUCUUCUGAUCGAUAGCGAACAAGUACCGUGAGGGAAAGGUGAAAAAGACUCCUAAAAAGGUAAGUGAAAGAGAUACUGAAACUGAAUGCUUACAAGCAGUCGAAGCUUUUUAAAAAAGUAACGGCGUACCUUUUGCAUAAUGGGUCAGCGAGUAAAUUUAUGAAGCAAGCCUAAGCUCUUAAGUGGAGGCGGAGUAAAAGCGAGCUUGAAAUGAGCUAAAAAAACAAAAAAAAGUUUCAUAAAUUUGACCCGAAACCAAGCGAUCUAGUCAUGAGCAGGUUGAAAAAAUGAUAAUACGUUUUGGAGGACCGAACCCACAUCUGUGGCAAUAGAUGGGGAUGACUUGUGACUAUGGGGUGAAAAGCCAAUCGAGCUUGGAAAUAGCUGGUUUUCUGCGAAAUCUAUUGAGGUAGAGCGUAUAGCUUUUCUUGAAAGUAAAAAGGAGGUAGAGCACUCGCUGGGUGAUGGUGGCCCAAAGCCUUACUGAUCCCAUGGAAACUCCGAAUACCUUUUUAUAAGCUAUACAGACAGACUAGAGGCGCUAAGGUCUCUAGUCAAGAGGGAAACAACCCAGAUCGAACGCUAAGGUUCUAAAGCGAUUUCUGAGUGGUAAAGGAAGUUAGUAAGCUAAGACAACCAGGAGGUAGGCUUGGAAGCAGCCAUCCUUUUAAGAAAGCGUAAUAGCUCACUGGUCUAUGUUUACUAGCACCUAAAAUGUAUCGGAGCUCAAGAUAUUCACCGAAGCGGCGAUUUUAAAUGGUCUCUUUAUCUUUUUUUGUAAAAAAAGAGGAGAAAAAAAACCAUUUAAAAGGUAGCAGAACGUUCUGUAAAUCGCAGAAGCUUUAUUGAAAAAUAAAGUUGAGAUAUCAGAAGUGAGAAUGCUGACAUGAGUAACGACAAAUCAUGUGAAAAUCAUGAUAGCCGAAAGUCCUAGGUUUUCUACAGACCGUAUUUCGAUGUAGAGUGAAUCGGCCCCUAAGACAAAAGCGAUAGCUUUUUGUUAAUGGGUACAAUGUGUUUCAAUCAUUGAUGUGAUAUCAAAUGACGGCUUUUUUUUUGUUUCACAAGAAAAUGGAUAUCUUGAAAAAAUAAAAAAAAGCCCAGGAAAGAAUUUGAUUAGACUCUUUUUUCAUUGAAAAAAGAAAACACCGUACUUAAACCGACACUGGUGGACUUGUUGAAUAAACUCAGGCUAAGAGAGAAUCAUGUUGAAGGAACUCGGCAAAUUACCUCCGUAACUUCGGAAAAAGGAGGACAUGGGGCUUUUUUUUGUAAAGAUUUCAUCUUUUUAGAAAAAAACCCAUGUGGCACAAAAUAGGGGGUGGCGACUGUUUACUAAAAACACAGGACUCUGCUAAGUGGUAACACGAUGUAUAGGGUCUGACACCUGCCCGGUGCUGGAAACUUAACAGGAGGGGUGCUCAUUGAAAUCAACCAGAAUUCAAUGAAAGCUCUAAAUGCAAGGCCCAGUAAACGGCGGCCGUAACUCUGACGGUCCUAAGGUAGCGAAAUUCCUUGUCGGGUAA
rnacentral:rRNA from 1 species